rnacentral:rRNA from 1 species
AUUGAACGCUGGCGGCAUGCCUUACACAUGCAAGUCGAACGGUAACGGGCCUUCGGGUGCCGACGAGUGGCGAACGGGUGAGUAAUACAUCGGAACGUGCCCGAUCGUGGGGGAUAACGAGGCGAAAGCUUUGCUAAUACCGCAUACGAUCUACGGAUGAAAGCAGGGGACCGCAAGGCCUUGCGCGGACGGAGCGGCCGAUGGCCGAUUAGGUAGUUGGUGGGAUAAAAGCUUACCAAGCCGACGAUCUGUAGCUGGUCUGAGAGGAUGAUCAGCCACACUGGGACGGAGACACGGCCCAGACUCCUACGGGAGGCAGCAGUGGGGAAUUUUGGACAAUGGGCGCAAGCCUGAUCCAGCCAUGCCGCGUGCAGGAUGAAGGCCUUCGGGUUGUAAACUGCUUUUGUACGGAACGAAAAGCCUUCUUUUAAUACAGGAGGGUCAUGACGGUACCGUAAGAAUAAGCACCGGCUAACUACGUGC